rnacentral:rRNA from 1 species
AAUAUUGGUCAAUGGGGGCAACCCUGAUCCAGCCAUGCCGCGUGUGUGAAGAAGUUCUUCGGAUUUUAAAGCACUUUAAGUUGGGAGGAAGGGCUCUAGGUUAAUACCCUGAAGUUUUGACGUUACCAACAGAAUAAGCAUCGGCUAACUCUGUGCCAGCAGCCGCGGUAAUACAGAGGGUGCAAGGUUGAAUCGGAUUUACGGGGCGUAAAGCGCGGGUAGGUGGUUCAGUAAGAUGGGUGUGAAAUCCCCGGGCUUAACCUGGGAACUGCUUUCAUAACUGAUGAGCUAGAGUACGGUAGAGGGUAGUGAAAUUUCCUGUGUAGCGGUGAAAUGCGUAGAUAUAGGAAAGAACACCAGUGGCGAAGGCGACUACCUGGACUGAUACUGACACUGAGGUGCGAAAGCGUGGGGAGCAAAC